GAAACUCAAAGGAAUUGACGGGGCCCGCACAAGCGGUGGAGCAUGUGGUUUAAUUCGACGCAACGCGAAGAACCUUACCUGGGCUUGACAUCCCGAUCGCACCUUAUGGAAACAUAGGGGUCAGUUCGGCUGGAUCGGUGACAGGGUACUGCAUGGCUGUCGUCAGCUCGUGUCGUGAGAUGUUGGGUUAAGUCCCGCAACGAGCGCAACCCUUGUCCUUAGUUGCCAGCAUUCAGUUGGGCACUCUAAGGAGACUGCCGGUGUCAAACCGGAGGAAGGUGGGGAUGACGUCAAGUCCUCAUGGCCCUUAUGUCCAGGGCUACACACGUGUUACAAUGGCCGGUACAAAGGGGCGCAAGACCGCGAGAUGGAGCAAAUCCCAAAAAACCGGUCUCAGUUCGGAUUGGAGUCUGCAACUCGACUCCAUGAAGUUGGAAUCGCUAGUAAUCGCGUAUCAGCAUGACGCGGUGAAUACGUUCCCGGGCCUU
rnacentral:rRNA from 1 species